rnacentral:rRNA from 1 species
UGGGGAAUAUUGCACAAUGGGGGAAACCCUGAUGCAGCGACGCCGCGUGAGCGAAGAAGGCCUUCGGGUCGUAAAGCUCUUUUAUAUGGGAAGAUAAUGACGGUACCAUAAGAAAAAGCCCCGGCUAACUACGUGCCAGCAGCCGCGGUAAUACGUAGGGGGCUAGCGUUGUCCGGAAUCACUGGGCGCACAGGGUUCGCAGGCGGCAAUGCAAGUCAGAUGUAAAAGGCAAGGGCUCAACCUUUGUAAGCAUCUGAAACUGUAUGGCUUGAGAAGUGUAGAGGCAAGUGGAAUUUUUAGUGUAGCGGUGAAAUGCGUAGAAAUUAAAAAGAAUACCGGUGGCGAAGGCGGCUUCCUGGGCACAAUAUGACGCUGAGGAACGAAAGCGUGAGGAGCAAACAGG